CAUAAACUGUAUUUACUUUGUGGGUCUUUUUUGCUGCUUCAGCCAGUUAGCAUCUGUUGCAGUGGACAUUCAGGGGUUGAUAUCUGCUAUUACCAUCUAUGGAAUCUAUACCUUGCAUCUGGGCCAUUUUUUUUUCUUGGUGUUUGGUGUGCUUGGUGUUUGGUGCAGUCUAACGUUUUUGUCUUGCAGCUCAUAUAGUAUUUUUACAUUUUAAUCCCUGGCUUUUUGGAAUAUUCCACUGUCUUGGUUUUUUUAACCUUGAUCUUUGUUUACUGGGGAAUAUUUAGGGAGAAACAGACUGUGGUUUGGUUUUUUCCUUCAUUCAUUUCUUCUGUAACAGAACCUGUCCAUGCCUGUAAUAUCCGCUGUUUAAGGUCUUUAGAUUAGACGUUGUAUAUUGUUGUAAUACAUUUUUUAAUUUAAAUUGUGUUGCGAGAUGUACGUUUUGAAUUGUUUGCAGUAUAUUUAGUUAUUUAUUGCUGUCUGCUGGGUUUUAGCAUUACAUUUUUUGCAUUGCAAUUAUUUGAAAUACUUGCCCCCUUUGGAUACUGGGACAAUUCCUGCAAAUGAGUAACAGUUUUGAAAGAGCAGGGUUUGGUGUUGCAGACACAGGAAGAGAACAGCACUCACACGUGGGAGGCUGGCGUUCUGGCACCAUGUGGGCCACAGGUGAAGAGACACGGAAGGGCAUCGAACCCGAGAGCAGCGCACCUGAAACGGAGAAAAGGCAGCCUCAUUAGCCUGCUGUUCAGAAGGAGCGAGACAGCAGAGUAAACUGCUCCCAUGCAGGUUAUUAACCGUGCCACUGGGAUAUAGCUCUGGAGUUCUGGGUCUAUAAACACAAAUCCAGAGAGCUCAGGUAGACGAACCCUCCCAUGGUCAGCACCAUCUGGACCACCAAGACGGCUGAAAAGAACCAGACAGGCGGGCUGGUGCGGCCCGACGCCGCAUGGUGCAUGCCCGUCCGGGGUGGGACCGGCGGUGGAGGCAGGCUGGUGUGGUAGGUGUUAAUCAUGGUGGCAAGAGCGAGAGCAAGAGAGCGAAAGAGAUAGUCGAGAUAGCGGGGAGCAGUGGCUUCCUGAGCACGUCGCGCACUUCUGAAGAGCUUCGCUCGCUCACUCACACGAGCAGCAGCGAUUGCAGAGGGAGGGGUAAGUUCUCAGGUGUGUGGGCCCUCCGUUCCUUCUCCACUUUAGCGUCAGCUUAGGCCGUCACGUGUCCCCGUGCCUGUCUCAGAGACUUUCCGUAGCUCGUCACGGGAUUCCUGACGGCGCCACCUUCUCCAAAUGCAGGGUCUGGGGCGCCUCAGGUUGCUGAUGCUGAAGUCGGGCCCUGUCGAGGGGAGGGGGGGGGGGUAGAUUGCCAGAGAAAGGGGGCUCCAUCUGAUCAAGCAAAUAAUACAGGAGCCUAGUGAUACAAAAUCCAGAAUCUACAACCCAGAGACAAAUCCAUGAUCUAGAACCCAGGGUCCAUCUGACAGUCUGUUGAUCUGCUAGUUCACCCGUAUGGAAAAGUGCCAUGGGAUUCCAACUGGACGUCAUUGGAUAUCAAUGGGAGUUCAUGGGUCACUAUGAGAAUCCCAUGUAUACUCAUGGAGCUAUCAUGAGACAUCAUAGGGUGCCCAUAACUACCCAUGAGAUCUGCCAUGAGUACAAUUUCUGUAACACUAAUUUACAAAGAAUUCAAUUGUAUGAUUGUGUGUUGAAUAUUUAAAAGCUCUUUGUUGGUAAAAAAAAAUUAUAUUAUUGUUUGUACUAGAUGUUCUUUUUCUGAUCCAAUAAUGGCAACAUAAAAUAGAUGCCAUGAAAAUCUUCACAUUCCACAUUCUCUUGAAACUGCAAGAGUGAGAAACAGAAGUUACAGAAUAGUGCUCAUUUAUUAUGUUUAGAUUCUUUAAGAGUGAAUGCUGUUGAUACCAUUAGUUUGCUAUUUCAUUUUAUGAAGUGUCUAUUCACAAACAUAAAGAGAAUAUAUAUAUUUUAUUCAGGUUUUUAAGUUUAAAUGUUGGUCUUUUUUGUUUAAUAAACAUAUAAAGUGCUAGUGGUUGCAGACAAAUUGUUUGGGGUUAUUAUGGUAUGUAUUAAGCAUUGCAAUAUGAACUUAUAUCAGUCUAACUUGUAUCAUUUCCGUCUGUUCCUAUGUGGGGAUUAAAUGUGUGGAGUUAUUGGGCAUGGGCACAGAUCUAUUGGGUCCAGGUCCUUCGUGACGUAAUGGCCAAUAAGUGUUUUAGUCUCAUUGCAUAUCUACCAUACUGUAAGCUAAAAUAGUCUGAGCAAAACAGUCUCCCUCCUUCUCCAACCCGCUCUUUGUGUCAUUUUCUCCAUCCCUUUGUGGUGGUGCUAACUAGCUGGCUGGCUAGCUAGGCUACUUGUAUUACCCCUAGAGCUAGCUAUGGAGCUAUGGAUUACAUUUCGCUAUCGUUUUUUCGUUUAGUUUAUUUUUAAAUGAAGCCUCCGUCUGCUUUGCAUGACGAAUUGCAUGACGAAUUUCCCCCGUCUGUUACUUCCCUGGAUGUACAAACUUAGAGCAUGACGUCGAGGAUAACGUUAUGUGUGUUUUUUUCAGCUUCCUAAGAAUUCAUUCGGAAGAAAUGGGUGGCUUUAAAUGUUUUUUUUUUUUUUUUUGAACCUAUGGCUACUCUGGCUCGCCCUGACCAUGCCCAUACAAUCCUGAGGUUUUUCCAAUGCAGUUCUUAUGUUUGAUUUGAAAUUUUGAAAUGUAUGCUAUUAUAGUUAUUAACAUUUAUUUAAAUAAAUAUUUAGUGGAUGAGUAGUGGAUACCACCUUACGCGAUCAUUCAUUCGAAUUGAUGACAGAUGUGUAUUUUAACACUCAUUUAAAUUUGUAAUGUAAUAAACACGCAAAUGCCCUGGACAUAACUGGCGAGCACACGGGAAGAACGAAACACACCUACACAUUCAGCUUCCCCACAGUACACGCCCACCCCCACUGAUGACAGGUAAAAAUUCAUCAGAAUUCUAGCUGUUACCCGUGUUACUUACCGUUACUUACCGUGUCCCUACAUUUUUCAGUCAGAAUGCGUUGCGAAACUAAAAUGCAUUUGUGAGACUCUUAAAACUUCGCCGUACAGUACUUUGCACGGGGAAGUCACAGUAGCCUACUCCGCAGCAUUAUGGCCUGCCCCAAGAUAACAAUAUCGUUUCUGUUUUGAGUCAGAGGUGGGUUUCAUUUUGUAAGUGUAAUUUGAGGUGUGGAGGCAGCAAGGAGACUGUAGUUAAGAGUGAGACAAGUGAGACGAGAACAAUUGGCCCACAUCUGGGUGUAAAAAUGAUUCAUUGCACUUCCCGUUGACCUUUAUUUAAAAAAAGUAUAUAUGUGUAUUUGUGUGUAUUUUAUAUGUUUUUUUUUUUUAAUAAGACCAUUUGUACUUAGUGACACUUUAUUUACUGUUCUGAUUUUAUCUGGAUUCAAAGGAAACAUUUCUUAAAAUUUUUACAAAAGCAUUAUGUUAAAAAGUCAAACUUAAAGAAGUUUCUGUGAGAAAGACACUUAAAAAUGUGGAACACAGUACACUUUCGUUGCUGUGCUGCGGGUGAGAUAAAUUACAGCUACUAAGUGCUUUCGUCUUAUACGUCUCAACAUGUCUCAUCAAUGCGGAUGCCUAAUUGCUGAUUAACCUUCAUAUGUGAAACCCCAGAUACUUUCUUUCUGUCAGUGCAUGUGCACAACAACGCAGAUGUAAAUUCACUGUCUCUCACAUAAUACCACAACGCAGUUCUUUGUGAUUUUGAUAACACUGAGUUUCUGGCUAAUGCUAUAAUCGGCAUAAUGAGACAGGCAGUGAAUCACUGGCCUUCCAAAGAAUUUGAAAGAAGCAUCACACGUUGGAUGGGCCUUCUUGGCCAGCAACAAGUGUGUGUUUUAUCACAAUGCAGUGUCUGGUGGUAGCAGCAGUACUGAAGCACUGCAUUAAUUACUGUGUAAGCAGGACAAAUGUAUCACCCAUACUGAGUUCCAUUUAGCAGUUGUGGUUUGACCACUCUUUGCACUACUAAAGCUAUAGUGGUGUUUCCUUUCAGGAAACUACACAGAGGCCCAUAGUUUGCCAUCGAUGCAGUUUGAUAGAAUGCCUUUUUGGCCUGUAAUGGUAUUUAAAGGUCAAAAGAAGUGUUAACCACCAGUUGCCGUUUUGUUACUGUGAGAGUCUCAUCUUCAUCAAAUGCUCUGGCUUGAAAAAAUUUAAAUUCACCUAAAGUAUGUUAAAAGCUUGAAAAAGUGGAUACGUUACACAGUUACCUGUUUUAGAUUGAAUUUCUCUUAGUCAAAACUUUUAAUUUAGAACCAACCAUUACUCACUGUUGGCAAACACAGUGAUCUUGGUGGUGGUAAAACUUUGUAUUCAGCUAUAGGAACAGUUCUUUUCUUUAAAUCUCAGAAUGCAUCGCUGCUGCAAAACUCAUAUGAGGAUCAGAAUCCAUAGGACAAAAUAGGAAUUUUUAAUUUAGGAUGUGAAAACCAGAUUUCCCCAUCCUAAAAACCUUUCCCAAAAACUUUUUUAAAAAUGAAAAAAAUAACCCUCUAUACUUUACCUAAUGCAGCAACUAGAGAAGUCACACAUUCAACACGUGGUUCAAUGUGCUAUAAAAGUGGUCUCCAACUGUUCAAAGGGUCUCAUAUGAUGACUCAUAGAAGAGCACAGAAAGUGAUUGAUUUUAUCAAUUUAUCAACUCAUUUUGUCUUGUUUUUCUAUUUUGGUAAAUUGCCUUUUGGAAUUCAAUAUGAGAGAUAAAGGGCAACAAAGUGUAAUUAACUAUGUGUCCAACUAGUCUAUAUUUUAUUUUACUGAACGGGCCACAAAUCAUUGUUCUCUAGAACUGGUUAACUGAAAGAAUACAUAUAUAUACAUAUUAAUCAUUCUGCAGUGUGAAUCUCCUUGAAUAAGUGACUACUCUUCUCUUUAGACAACAUACAAAUUCAAGUCAAAUGAAAAUCCAGCAGAUGUAUGGAUCAGAUAUGGCCAUAUUCAGCCAAAACAUAUGCAACAAAGCUUUUCCCACCUAUGAGAAUAUAUUAAGUUCUUACAGCUCCUCGGAUGCACUAGUGUCCUGUAAUGAGCUGAAUCUUACACAGUAACUUCCCAAAGCUACACAAUUUAAUUUUAAAAAUCCUGAAAUGUCUAUCGUAGAUGUGAUUCUAACCAGCAGACCACAUAAUCUUUGCUUUGGAUACUGCCCCAUCUCUUGCAUAUGAUAUGACAGCUAUAAAGGCUCGCUUGCGUUUUAUCUGCAAAAGGAAUUACAAACAUUUCUCAGAACAAGCAUUCAUUCAUGAUUUAUUUUAAGUGGAAUUAGCUGCGUGGCUUCCAUUCCAGACCCAAAACAGUAUUGCAUAGCCUUGUUUA